UAAUACGGAGGGGGCUAGCGUUGUUCGGAAUUACUGGGCGUAAAGCGCACGUAGGCGGCUUUGUAAGUUAGAGGUGAAAGCCCGGGGCUCAACUCCGGAAUUGCCUUUAAGACUGCAUCGCUAGAAUUGUGGAGAGGUAAGUGGAAUUCCGAGUGUAGAGGUGAAAUUCGUAGAUAUUCGGAAGAACACCAGUGGCGAAGGCGACUUACUGGACACAUAUUGACGCUGAGGUGCGAAAGCGUGGGGAGCAAACAGG
rnacentral:rRNA from 1 species